UACGGGGGGGGCGAAGCGUUGUUCGGAAUUACUGGGCGUAAAGGGCUCGUAGGCGGCCAACUAAGUCAGACGUGAAAUCCCCAGGCUCAACCUGGGAACUGCGUCUGAUACUGGAUGGCUUGAAUUCGGGAGAGGGAUGCAGAAUUCCAGGUGUAGCGGUGAAAUGCGUAGAUAUCUGGAGGAAUACCGGUGGCGAAGGCGGCAUCCUGGACCGACAUUGACGCUGAUGAGCGAAAGCUAGAGGAGCAAACGGG
rnacentral:rRNA from 1 species